GAUUUUAAACCCCUGGGAAUUGAAAUCGAAUUGCUAAUAGAUCAUAUUACUGUUGUUGUAUUGUACUUGUAAAAUAACAACGUAUUUAAGGCCAUGUUACACGGUGCAAUUUUUCUUGCAACUUGCAAUGCAAUUCUACUCUUGAGAGAUGUAAAAUUGCCAAAUACGAGUCUUCAUUACACUUCGCUCAGAGGAGGAAUGAGGGUCUUCCCACAAUGCAUUGCGU